CCACCCUCUCUCCCGCACCCGCACCCAGACCUAGCCACCACCAAUGUCAGCGGCGGCGCCGCCGCCGCGCCGCCGGACGUGGUCCCCCUCCGCCUUCCGCCCGAUGGCCCAGUACGCCUCCUCCGCGCCUCCAUGGCCCGCAAGACCUGGAGCCACAAGCGUCUCGCGCCGGGGAUUCCGACGCCGCCUCCACGAGCUCCACCCGGCACCCCCCGCGCUCGGGUUCCUCCACAACCGGGCCGAUGAGGACGAGCGCAGCCCCUGCUUCAUCCCCACCGCCGCCUCGUCCUUCUCCCUCGUCGCCCGGACCGCCGCUUCCGGCGGGCCAUCGGCUGCCGCCACGGCCGCGCACCUCUUCCUCUCCAAGGACAGGUGCGACCACCUCGUCCUCGACUGCCUCGCGGGCCCUUUCCGGGUGGUCUUCCUCUUCGCCGUCGAGGGAGACGCCGACAACGACGCGUAUGCUCGACGGAGACUGGCGGCCGGGGCGAGCUGACCUCGAUGCGCUGCCAAGGCGAGUUCUCCAUGGAAUUCUCGUUGGCAGGUCUCUGCUCUACUCCAUGUCCACGGGGACAGUGCGUCGAUCGUGGAUCAUGACCUGGGAAGCCGCGACCUGACUCUGUUCGGCCCACCACCAGACAAGCACUACAAGCACGGAUGCUGUCAAGGAUGGGGAUUUUGUCAACGCCUUUGAAUGCGUUAGCCACAACCUCAUGAUCAGGCUGGUGAGUUUUUCUAUGCAGCUCAAAGAAGCGCUGUAGCACAAGGGGGGCAAUUGGAAGCAAAUCAGUUUGGUCAGAAUUCACCGGAGAGUCCUUCCUUGGAGCAGGAUUCUCAAUCGGCAGCUGAAAGAUUAGUGAGAUAGACUGAAUUCUGAACAUGUAUCAUCUGUUCCAUGUGAGAGAAAUCGCAUGUCGAUAUCAUCUUGAAAUAAUCACAGCUGGGGGGACGAGGUUGGUAGCUGAGGGUGAUGUGCAGAGCGGGAGGAAGGAGGUGUGAGGCUUGGAACUCUCCUUGUGAAGUGCUCAGGGACAGCGGUGAGGAGCAUGGCAGGUGUCCAACCUGACCUCCUCGGCAACAGCAACAAGGGUGGCCGCGGUGACAAGGGAGGAGACGACAACCAGCAGAGCAAUCAGAUCGCUAAGUCUCUGAUCCCGUCACUUCCUGCUCGAUUCGCUUGGCUCCUGUGCUGAUUUCUCUUUGGUUUCCCAGGUUUGUUGUGGUUGCAGAAUGGCGCAGAGGAAUUGGGAAGCGGACUAUGGACAUGAUGCGUGAUGUGCACAUCCAUGACUAUUUGCUCAAGUGAAACAUCCAAACGGCCAACCUGUUCAUGGUGGAGGGGGCCAUGCCUGCUAAGUCCUCCAAUUCAUGCUCAUGCUGGCUGCUGGGGCGAGCUGACCACGAUGCUCUGCGAAGGCGAGUUCUCCAUGGAAUUCACACAACAUUCCAGCGUUCUCGUUGGCAGGUCUCUGCACUUCUCCAUGUCCACGGGGACAGUGCGUCCAUCGUGGAGCAUGACCUGGCAAGUCGCGACCUGACUCUGCUCGGCCAACUAGACAAGCACUAUAAGCACAGAUGCUGUCAAGGAUGGGGAUUUUUGUCAACGCCUUUGAAUGCGUCAGCCACAACCUCAAGAUCAGGGCUCCUUGUUAUGGAGAAGGUGCUCUCGAGGGUGUAGCACACUCAACAAACAUGGAUGUGCCUUGCUAUCCAAAGAUUCUCCUAGUGAUGUUCCUAAGAGGGCACCAAAUGAAGAAUCGGCGAAGGGUACAACCCGCAAAGAUGAUGCUGGGAACCUUUGACCUCUGAUAGCAAUGUUGAUGGUGCUUCACCUUCAGAGAAGGCUGGUGAGUUUUUCUAUUCAGCUCAAAGAAGCGCUGUAGCACAAGAGAGGCAAUUGGUAGCAAAUCAGUCUGGUCAGAAUUCACCGGAGAGUCCUUCCUUAGAGCAGCUGAAAGAUUAGUGAGACUGACUGAUGCUGAACAUGUACCAUCUGUUCCAUGUGAGAGAAAUAGCAUGUCGAUAUCAUCUUGAAAUAAUCACAGCUGGGAGGACGAGGUUGGUAGCUGAGGAUGAUGUGUAGAGCGGGAGGAAGGAGGUGUGAGGCUUGGAACUCUCCUUGUGAAGUGCUCAGGGACAGCGGUGAGGAGCAUGGCAGGUGUCCAACUUGACCUCCUCGGCAACAGCAGCAACAAGGGUGGCCGUGGCGACAAGGGAGGAGAUAACAACCAGCAGAGCAAUGAAAUCGCUAAGUCUCUGAUCCCGCCACUUCCUGCUCGAUUCGCUUGGCUCCUGCGCUGAUUUCUCUUUGUUUUCCCAGGUUUGUUGUGGUUGCAGAAUGGCGCAGAGCAACUGGGAAGCGGACUACGUCUACGGACAUGAUGCGUGAUGUACACAUCCAUCACUACUAUUUGCUCAAGUGGAUCAUCCAAACGGCCAACCUGUUCAUGGUGGAGGGGGUGAUGCCUUCUAAGUCCUCCAAUUCAUGCUCAGGUGCAACCUGGAAUGAUUGGGUUUAUGACAUUGGGUGGCAGUAUAAUUCUCAUGCUGACGACAAUUAUUUUUUUGACGAGGAUUCAGUGGUUGUCUGUGGCAUGUGUUCAACUAGGAACUCAUCAUUAUUGGAGUCUUUCAUCUGUAUAUACCAAAGCAAGGCGGGAGAAGAAGCAGAUUGAUUGAUGAAGGAAACACAUGAAAAAGAGGAAAAGAGCAGCUAAAUGAUUGAUGGGGCAUGUGACUUAUCCCUGUUGGUUCUCCUUUCCGCAAAUUAAACCAAUAAUCAAUAUUGUCAGUUUGAGAGUAUGCUGGAUGUGAGAGUUAAUGAAGAAGAUCACUCAUGCUGUUGAAAGUACACAAGCAGUCACUGUUAAGGUCUACCGAAAAACAUGUAGAUUGUGCACAUUGAGCAGAAUUAUUGGAGCAGAAUGGAUCUAUCUCUGCGUUUCAUAUCAUUUUGCUUUGCCCUUCUCUUGCACCAAAGAAAGAAAUCUUUGUUUAUAAACUUGCGAUUUUGGUAUUGUUUUCUGAAGGCAGACCACAGAUUUUCAUGGUCAUGCACAUUUAGUGUUGUUGCCCCUUCUCUGUUCCAAAAAGACCCCAUUUUCACUGAAUAAUAAAUUGUUUUCCCUUAUUACCUUUAUGCUUUUCUCUCUCUUUUCCAUUCCAAAAAUAGAUUUUAUUUUGAACAAACGGCAAAAAGGUUUUGCUUUAUUCUUGCAAGGAUAGAGAGUAUUUUCUUCAGAUCGCCCUCUAUCAAACUUAUAUGUUUGGGAGCCUUUGUUGCAGCCAACAAAUUGUUCCUCAGAAAUUUAUAUUUAAUUCUGGUGAUUAAAUAUAAAGCAAUGCCUCUUGAAGUAGUUCCUCAGAAUCUUCUACAGGACAUAUGUUUUUGACAAAGUCUACAUGACAUAUGACUAAGACAAGACUCAUGCCAUAAGGUUCUCCAAAAUCCUUUGUUCAAGCAGAAAAACCUUUUUACACAACAACCUCAUUUUUCUCCAGUUUGGGGAUGGCAACAGUUCUACUCACAAUGGUGCUGCAUGCUGGAAGUACUCAUUAUCCUGUUGGCUCUACUCUGGAUUCCAUAUUAUGGAGAAGGUGUUCUGGAUGGUCCUAACACGCUCAUAAACAUGGAUGUGCCUUGCUACCCUCCGGGUGGUGUUCCUAAGACGGGAACCAAAUGAAGAAUCGGUGAAGGGUACAACCAAUAAAGAUGAUGCCGGGAACUUGACGACCUCUGAUAGCAAUGUUAUUGGUGCUCCACCUCCGGAGAAAGCAUGUGGAAGAUCAUUUCCUUUGUUCUCUGAAUUACAUGCACUUUGGUGAACAAAAAGUAUGAUUGGUGUUCCUGGUGAAACUGAGUGAAGCUAGAAGAUGCUAUGAGAAGGAACUUGCCAAGACCAUUUGAAGAACAGCCUGAUCUCCUGCAUGAGGGGCUCUUUUGUGUGUGCAGGACAAUCCCAACGAUUGUCCAUUCAUUUCAUCCGUCGUGUACAUCUUGGAGAACGGAAGUGCCAAACUUCAUGUCCCGAACCAACCGAUUGCAGAGGCCAAACCUGAUGCUACCCCAUUGUUUUGUAAUGUGCAAGUUAAGCUUCUGAUGGUACAUAGUUGGCAUGCAGUAAAAUCUAGCAACCAUUGGUGCAGUGCCAAAUAAAGUAACCACAGCCGGUUUUAUCAACAGAGUCAUAUUUCAAAGGUACCCCUUCGCGAAAGCAUUGAGGAUAUCGUGUAGAGGAUAACACGUGCCAAGGGUUAUCUAAAUCGAGUUGAAUUCGGACUUCCAAUCGUGGUAUGAGUCAGAGGUGGUUUAUACUUGUGGAAAGAAAACUCAAGAAGUAACCUGGGGAUUUUAUAACAUUAUAAAAGGCAUUGCAGCAUUCAAUCUUAACCUGGUGAAAAGGAACAUCACGAUUUUCAUCGGUAAUUUAUUCAGUAAAACAUACAUGCAUGCAUGCAAAUAUACUUAUAUAUUCCUUGGACAAGAUGCUCAGAGUUUUAUCAAUUUUGUUGAUGCUUCCAGAAAAACAGAAAGCGCAGGCUUGCCAGAGUGAACCCGAGGGCAUCGACCAUGAUGCUGUUGCUAGGAUGGAUUUCAGAGGGUUAGGCAUGUCGGAGAAGUGCAUUCCGCUUUAGGUGCGAUCUUUUGGUCCAACCCAAGACAUGGCUGUUAGCUUGUUGGUACAUGUACUUGGAUCUCAGGAUAGCGCCGGGCACAGCUCUAUCAUGCAAAGCUAUUGGAGUGAUCAAACUCUGUUGUGAUGAACGGUGUUCUUGUUGUAAAUUGGCGAUCAUCUGAAAAACAUUUCAUCUUUGAGAAGUAUGAUAACUAUCACUCACAUGUUUUGCCUGGGGUACAAGAAAACAAUUGAAGUACUCUGUUUCUCGAUA